rnacentral:rRNA from 1 species
ACGGAAGGCAGCAGUGGGGAAUAUUGCACAAUGGGGGAAACCCUGAUGCAGCGACGCCGCGUGAAGGAAGAAGUAUCUCGGUAUGUAAACUUCUAUCAGCAGGGAAGAUAAUGACGGUACCUGACUAAGAAGCCCCGGCUAACUACGUGCCAGCAGCCGCGGUAAUACGUAGGGGGCAAGCGUUAUCCGGAUUUACUGGGUGUAAAGGGAGCGUAGACGGUAUGGCAAGUCUGAUGUGAAAACCCAAGGCUCAACCAUGGGACUGCAUUGGAAACUGUCAAACUAGAGUGCAGGAGGGGUAAGCGGAAUUCCUAGUGUAGCGGUGAAAUGCGUAGAUAUUAGGAGGAACACCGGUGGCGAAGGCGGCUUACUGGACUGUAACUGACGUUGAGGCUCGAAAGCGUGGGGAGCAAACAGGAUUAGAUACCCUGGUA